rnacentral:rRNA from 1 species
GAAUUACUGGGCGUAAAGAGUGUGUAGGCGGUGCUCUAAGUUCGGUGUGAAAUCUCCUGGCUCAACUGGGAGGGUGCGCCGGAAACUGGAAUGCUUGAGCGUGGGAGAGGAAAGCGGAAUUCCUGGUGUAGCGGUGAAAUGCGUAGAUAUCAGGAGGAACACCUGUGGUGUAGACGGCUUUCUGGACCAUUGCUGACGCUGAGACACGAAAGCGUGGGUAGCAAACAGGAUUAGAUACCCUGGUAGUCCACGCCGUAAACGAUGUCUACUAGUUGUCGGGACUUAAUUGUCUUGGUAACGCAGCUAACGCGUGAAGUAGACCGCCUGGGGAGUACGGUCGCAAGAUUAAAACUCAAAGGAAUUGACGGGGACCCGCACAAGCGGUGGAUGAUGUGGAUUAAUUCGAUGCAACGCGAAAAACCUUACCUACCCUUGACAUGGCAGGAAUCCUGAAGAGAUUUAGGAGUGCUCGCAAGAGAACCUGCACACAGGUGCUGCAUGGCU